CAGGACACAGAAUAGUCUUUCACACAACUCUGCUAUGGCAACAGCCGAAGAAGCAGAAGAAGGAGGAAGAAGAGGAGGAGUUCUUUCCAAAUGCGGUCUGUGCAGAGUUGUCCUCCAGCGUCUGUGCUGCCCUCAGAAUCAACAUAGUGAAAUUUGACCUUCUACAUGACAGUCUUUCAGAGAUUUAAUGACCCUUAACUCUCAUGAAGCAGGUUUAUGAGGAAAAGGCUUGGACUGGGUAGAUAUGUGAUCUUUUCUGACCUCAUAAUUCUUGUGUUUCUUGUUUGUAAUUUAUUGAGGACUAGCAGCAGAGUUGUGUCCUUGCAGCUCAGGUGAGAGUUAGCAGACGUCUUGUAGCACCUUCAAGACUAACUGGGUCCCCCCUCCACUGCUCCACACAAAAGCUUAUGAAAAAUAAAAACUAGAUGGUAUUUUAAGUGCUACA
rnacentral:lncRNA from 1 species